rnacentral:rRNA from 1 species
GACGAACGCUGGCGGCGUGCCUAAUACAUGCAAGUCGAACGCAGUGGGGACGGGUGAGUAACACGUGGGUAACCUCCCAUCAGAGGGGAUAACACUUGGAAACAGGUGCUAAACCGAUACUGAUGGAUGGACCCGCGGUGCAGUAGCUAGUUGGUGAGGUAACGGCUCACCAAGGCCACGAUGCAUAGCCGACCUGGGAGGGUGAUCGUGCAACCUGGGACUGAGACACGGCCCAGACUCCUACGGUAGGCAGCAGUAGGGAAUCUUCGACAAUGGACGAAAGUCUGACCGAGCAAUGCCGCGUGAGUGAAGAAGGUCUUCGGGUUGUAAAGCUCUGUUAUCAGGGAAGCGUUACUUAAACAGAAAGCCACGGCUAACUACGUGCCAGCAGCCGCGGUAAUAC